rnacentral:rRNA from 1 species
CCUACGGGCGGCAGCAGUCGAGAAUCAUUCACAAUGGGGGAAACCCUGAUGGUGCGACGCCGCGUGGGGGAAUGAAGGUCUUCGGAUUGUAAACCCCUGUCAUGUGGGAGCAAAUUAAAAAGAUAGUACCACAAGAGGAAGAGACGGCUAACUCUGUGCCAGCAGCCGCGGUAAUACAGAGGUCUCAAGCGUUGUUCGGAAUCACUGGGCGUAAAGCGUGCGUAGGCUGUUUCGUAAGUCGUGGGUGAAAGGCGCGGGCUCAACCCGCGGACGGCAUAUGAUACUCGGAGACUAGAGUAAGAGAGGGGGAAGCGGAAUUCUCGGUGAAGCAGUGAAAUGCGUAGAUAUAGGGAGGAACACUCAAGGCGAAGGCGGGUUCCUGGACAUAUACUGACGCUGAGGGACGAAGGCCAGGGGAGCAAAAGGGAUUAGAUACCCCAGUAGUC